UACGAAGGGGGCUAGCGUUGCUCGGAAUUACUGGGCGUAAAGCGCACGUAGGCGGCUCUUUAAGUCGGGGGUGAAAUCCUGGAGCUCAACUCCAGAACUGCCUUCGAUACUGGAGAGCUUGAGUCCGGGAGAGGUGAGUGGAACUGCGAGUGUAGAGGUGAAAUUCGUAGAAUAUUCGCAAGAACACCAGUGGCGAAGGCGCUCGCUGGCCCGGU
rnacentral:rRNA from 1 species